UACGUAGGGGGCCAGCGUUGUUCGGAAUUACUGGGUGUAAAAGGGUUCGUAGGCGGUGUGGGCAAGUUUGGGAGUGAAAUCUCUGGGCUCAACCCAGAGACGGCUUCCAAAACUGCCGUGCUUGAGUGUGGGAGAGGCUCGUGGAAUUGCAGGUGUAGCGGUGAAAUGCGUAGAUAUCUGCAGGAACACCCCGUGGCGAAAGCGGCGAGCUGGACCACUACUGCGCUGGAAGAACGAAAGCUAGGGGAGCAAACAGG
rnacentral:rRNA from 1 species